UAGGGAAUCUUCGGCAAUGGGGGGAACCCUGACCGAGCAACGCCGCGUGAGUGAAGAAGGUUUUCGGAUCGUAAAGCUCUGUUGUUAAGGAAGAACGAGUGUGAGAAUGGAAAGUUCAUGCUGUGACGGUACUUAACCAGAAAGGGACGGCUAACUACGUGCCAGCAGCCGCGGUAAUACGUAGGUCCCGAGCGUUGUCCGGAUUUAUUGGGCGUAAAGCGAGCGCUGGCGGUUAGAAAAGUCUGAAGUGAAAGGCAGUGGCUCAACCAUUGUAGGCUUUGGAAACUGUUUAACUUGAGUGCAGAAGGGGAGAGUGGAAUUCCAUGUGUAGCGGUGAAAUGCGUAGAUAUAUGGAGGAACACCGGUGGCGAAAGCGGCUCUCUGGUCUGUAACUGACGCUGAGGCUCGAAAGCGUGGGGAGCGAACAGG
rnacentral:rRNA from 1 species